GAUGAACGCUGACGGCGUGCCUAAUACAUGCAAGUCGAGCGAACAGACGAGGAGCUUGCUCCUCUGACGUUAGCGGCGGACGGGUGAGUAACACGUGGAUAACCUACCUAUAAGACUGGGAUAACUUCGGGAAACCGGAGCUAAUACCGGAUAAUAUUUUGAACCGCAUGGUUCAAUAGUGAAAGACGGUUUUGCUGUCACUUAUAGAUGGAUCCGCGCCGCAUUAGCUAGUUGGUAAGGUAACGGCUUACCAAGGCAACGAUGCGUAGCCGACCUGAGAGGGGGAUUGGCCCAACUGGGACUGAGAAACGGUCCAGACUCCCAAGGGGGGCAGGCGGAGGGAAAUUUUCGGAAUUGGGGGAAAGCCGAAGGGGGAAAGGCGGGGGAGGUAUGAAAGGUCUCCGAUUCGAAAAACCUUGUAAUAGGGAAAAAACAUUGGUGUAAGUAACAGUGAAGUUCUUAAGGGAACCAAAGAGAAAGGCCCCGCUUACCUCCUG
rnacentral:rRNA from 1 species